rfam:Salmo salar isolate Sally breed double haploid chromosome ssa13, whole genome shotgun sequence.
UAUGCACCCUACUGUAAGUCGCUCUGGAUAAGAGCGUCUGCUAAAUGACUCAAA